GAAAAACCGCCCGAGGAGGUGCUCCGCCUUAUUAACAUCAAUAAGGCAGACCCAGGCUUCAGUGGGAUUCCUGGUGGGCUAGAAACCACAAUUGCAGCAGAGAAGGAAUUAAAGGUCGAUGAGCUGCCAAAUGGUGAUGUGGUUAUUCAAGUCAUACCAGAAUCAGAUUCAGAAGCAGAGAGACG